UACGAAGGGUGCAAACGUUGCUCGGAAUUAUUGGGCGUAAAGCGCACGUAGGCGGCUUAGCAAGUCGGAAUGUGAAACUCCCUCGGCUCAACCAAGGAAGUGCAUCCGAAACUGCUGAGCUUGAGGUACUUAAGAGGAUCGCGGAAUUCCCGGUGUAGAGGUGAAAUUCGUAGAUAUUCGCAAGAACACCAGUGGCGAAGGCGGCUCACUGGCCCGGUACUGACGCUGAGGUGCGAAAGCGUGGGAGCAACAGG
rnacentral:rRNA from 1 species